GAAGGCCUUCGGGUCGUAAAGCUCUGUUGUUAGGGAAGAACAAGUACGAGAGUAACUGCUCGUACCUUGACGGUACCUAACCAGAAAGCCACGGCUAACUACGUGCCAGCAGCCGCGGUAAUACGUAGGUGGCAAGCGUUGUCCGGAAUUAUUGGGCGUAAAGCGCGCGCAGGCGGUCCUUUAAGUCUGAUGUGAAAGCCCACGGCUCAACCGUGGAGGGUCAUUGGAAACUGGGGGACUUGAGUGCAGAAGAGGAGAGUGGAAUUCCACGUGUAGCGGUGAAAUGCGUAGAGAUGUGGAGGAACACCAGUGGCGAAGGCGACUCUCUGGUCUGUAACUGACGCUGAGGCGCGAAAGCGUGGGGAGCAAACAGGAUUAGAUACCCUGGUAGUCCACGCCGUAAACGAUGAGUGCUAAGUGUUAGAGGGUUUCCGCCCUUUAGUGCUGCAGCUAACGCAUUAAGCACUCCGCCUGGGGAGUACGGCCGCAAGGCUG
rnacentral:rRNA from 1 species